rnacentral:tRNA from 5 species
GCGCUCGUGGCGAAAACUUCGGCAGACGCGCCCGGCUCAAACCCGGGUGCCGGUAGCCCCGGCGUGCAGGUUCAAGUCCUGCCGAGCGCA